GACGAACGCUGGCGGCGUGCUUAAUACAUGCAAGUCGAACGGAAAGGCCCUGCUUUUGUGGGGUGCUCGAGUGGCGAACGGGUGAGUAACACGCGAGUAACCUGCCCCUGACUUUGGGAUAACUUCAGGAAACUGGGGCUAAUAUCGGAUAUGAGCUCCUGCUGCAUGGUGGGGGUUGGAAAGUUUCGGCGGUUGGGGAUGGACUCGCGGCUUAUCAGCUUGUUGGUGGGGUUGUGGCUGACCAAGGCUUUGACGGGUAGCCGGCCUGAGAGGGUGACCGGCCACAUGAGGACUGAGAGACGGCCCAGUCGCCUACGUGAGGCAGCAGUGGGGAAUAUGGCGCAAUGGGCGGAAGCCAGAUGCAGCGACGCCGCGUGCGGGAUAACGGCCUUCGGGGGGUAAACCGCUUUGUCCUGUGACGAAGCGUGAGUGACGGUAAUGGGUAAAGAAGCACCGGCUAACUACGUG
rnacentral:rRNA from 1 species